rnacentral:lncRNA from 1 species
CUGGCGUGAAUCACCAAACUGGCAAUCAUCCCAUUGAUUUCAGGGGCUGUAAAUAUGAACCUAAGUAUGACUACAUCUGGAUCCAACUCUAGAAUGGAAAGCAUAAACUUACCCAGAUUGUUCAGUGGCUCUCUGAAAUUGUCCAUGUCCUUCUGAGCCCAAUUUAAGGACCUAAAUAUCACCUUUAAACCCUUUCAUGGCUUGGAAUGACAUGAUUCCACCACAUCUUUUAAUUUACAUUUUUCUGAUGUUUUUAUUAUGCUAAAACAGAAGAAACAACAAACAAAACUGCCAAAAAAGGACACAGAGCAGAAAUAGAUGUAUUACAGUAAUAAUAAGAACGAUUUACACUGGGGUUUUUUUUGCCAAAGUAUUCUGUGUAUUUGGUGCUCUGAAUUUAUUAUCUUUUUGUAACGGCUAGCCUCCUUGUUGCCUAGAUCAUGUUGAGGAAGCCUUCUCACUGGGCAUGGUCCCGCGAACGAGCCGCUCACCACAGUGGGGCGCUGAGGAGUUACUUGAAAACGGACAACGACUUGCUCCCUAGGGGGCCGGGGGUAACGCCCCCAGUCUGCCUUCUCUGUGCCUGCGAUCUGGUAGAAGAAGAUACGGAAACAGCUCCCUCCCGCAGCAGCGGGACGCCUGCCACGCCACCGACCCAGGAUUUGAACAGCUUCCCUCUUCUGACGGUAGAUCUGGAAACGGAUUAUAGCGUGCUGAUCCUGCAGGAAUCUGAUAUGGAGACGGAGGGAACAGACAAGGACGGCCAGUUCCUGGGCUAGCGUCCGGUGGUCAAGGCUCUUCUCCACACAGACAUUAUUUCCGUUCUCGUUGGACGUUCCUAUGGACGUUCCUGUUUUUCAUCUCCAUCUGCAGUGAUUAUGCACUGUAUCUUCCCGUUCAUAGAGAGAACACACAAUGUUGUAUUUGUAUGUAUUUAAAAAAAACAAAAACCCUAACAAACACGGGCUAUUCAGUACGACUCGUACAAUGCCAAAUACACUGGCUGGACAGACUCCUAAUAAAAAAAAACUAUCUAGGAGAACA